GGGUUGUGAGGUUAAGCGACUAAGCGUACACGGUGGAUGCCCUGGCAGUCAGAGGCGAUGAAGGACGUGCUAAUCUGCGAAAAGCGUCGGUAAGGUGAUAUGAACCGUUAUAGCCGGCGAUGUCCGAAUGGGGAAACCCAGUGCAAUUCGUUGCACUAUCGUUAACUGAAUACAUAGGUUAACGAGGCGAACCGGGGGAACUGAAACAUCUAAGUACCCCGAGGAAAAGAAAUCAACCGAGAUUCCCCCAGUAGCGGCGAGCGAACGGGGAGCAGCCCAGAGUCUGAAUCAGCUUGUGUGUUAGUGGAACGGUCUGGAAAGUCCGACGGUACAGGGUGAUAGUCCCGUACACCAAAAUGCACAGGUUGUGAACUCGAAGAGUAGGGCGGGACACGUGGUAUCCUGUCUGAAUAUGGGGGGACCAUCCUCCAAGGCUAAAUACUCCUGACUGACCGAUAGUGAACCAGUACCGUGAGGGAAAGGCGAAAAGAACCCCGGCGAGGGGAGUGAAAAAGAACCUGAAACCGUGUACGUACAAGCAGUGGGAGCACCUUCGGGUGUGACUGCGUACCUUUGUAUAAUGGGUCAGCGACUUAUAUUCUGUAGCAAGGUUAACCGUAUAGGGGAGCCGCAGGGAAACCGAGUCUUAACUGGGCGUUAAGUUGCAGGGUAUAGACCCGAAACCCGGUGAUUCAGCCAUGGGCAGGUUGAAGGUUGGGUAACACUAACUGGAGGACCGAACCGACUAAUGUUUAAAAAUUAGCGGAUGACUUGUGGCUGGGGUGAAAGGCCAAUCAAACCGGGAGAUAGCUGGUUCUCCCCGAAAGCUAUUUAGGUAGCGCCUCGUGAACUCAUCUUCGGGGUAGAGCACUGUUUCGGCUAGGGGGUCAUCCCGACUUACCAACCCGAUGCAAACUACGAAUACCGAAGAAUGUUAUCACGGGAGACACACGGCGGGUGCUAACGUCCGUCGUGAAGAGGGAAACAACCCAGACCGCCAGCUAAGGUCCCAAAGUCAUGGUUAAGUGGGAAACGAUGUGGGAAGGCACAGACAGCCAGGAUGUUGGCUUAGAAGCAGCCAUCAUUUAAAGAAAGCGUAAUAGCUCACUGGUCGAGUCGGCCUGCGCGGAAGAUGUAACGGGGCUAAACCAUGCACCGAAGCUACGGCAGCGACACUAUGUGUUGUUGGGUAGGGGAGCGUUCUGUAAGCCUGCGAAGGUGUGCUGUGAGGCAUGCUGGAGGUAUCAGAAGUGCGAAUGCUGACAUAAGUAACGAUAAAGCGGGUGAAAAGCCCGCUCGCCGGAAGACCAAGGGUUCCUGUCCAACGUUAAUCGGGGCAGGGUGAGUCGACCCCUAAGGCGAGGCCGAAAGGCGUAGUCGAUGGGAAACAGGUUAAUAUUCCUGUACUUGGUGUUACUGCGAAGGGGACGGAGAAGGCUAUGUUAGCCGGGCGACGGUUGUCCCGGUUUAAGCAUGUAGGCUGGUUAUCCAGGCAAAUCCGGAUAAUCAAGGCUGAGGUGUGAUGACGAGGCACUACGGUGCUGAAGUAACAAAUGCCCUGCUUCCAGGAAAAGCCUCUAAGCAUCAGGUAACAUCAAAUCGUACCCCAAACCGACACAGGUGGUCAGGUAGAGAAUACCAAGGCGCUUGAGAGAACUCGGGUGAAGGAACUAGGCAAAAUGGUGCCGUAACUUCGGGAGAAGGCACGCUGGUGUGUAGGUGAAGUCCCUGCGGAUGGAGCUGAGACCAGUCGAAGAUACCAGCUGGCUGCAACUGUUUAUUAAAAACACAGCACUGUGCAAACACGAAAGUGGACGUAUACGGUGUGACGCCUGCCCGGUGCCGGAAGGUUAAUUGAUGGGGUUAUCCGUAAGGAGAAGCUCUUGAUCGAAGCCCCGGUAAACGGCGGCCGUAACUAUAACGGUCCUAAGGUAGCGAAAUUCCUUGUCGGGUAAGUUCCGACCUGCACGAAUGGCGUAAUGAUGGCCAGGCUGUCUCCACCCGAGACUCAGUGAAAUUGAACUCGCUGUGAAGAUGCAGUGUACCCGCGGCAAGACGGAAAGACCCCGUGAACCUUUACUAUAGCUUGACACUGAACAUUGAGCCUUGAUGUGUAGGAUAGGUGGGAGGCUUUGAAGCGUGGACGCCAGUCUGCGUGGAGCCAACCUUGAAAUACCACCCUUUAAUGUUUGAUGUUCUAACGUUGGCCCCUUUACCGGGGUUGCGGACAGUGUCUGGUGGGUAGUUUGACUGGGGCGGUCUCCUCCCAAAGCGUAACGGAGGAGCACGAAGGUUAGCUAAUCCUGGUCGGACAUCAGGAGGUUAGUGCAAUGGCAUAAGCUAGCUUGACUGCGAGCGUGACGGCGCGAGCAGGUGCGAAAGCAGGUCAUAGUGAUCCGGUGGUUCUGAAUGGAAGGGCCAUCGCUCAACGGAUAAAAGGUACUCCGGGGAUAACAGGCUGAUACCGCCCAAGAGUUCAUAUCGACGGCGGUGUUUGGCACCUCGAUGUCGGCUCAUCACAUCCUGGGGCUGAAGUAGGUCCCAAGGGUAUGGCUGUUCGCCAUUUAAAGUGGUACGCGAGCUGGGUUUAGAACGUCGUGAGACAGUUCGGUCCCUAUCUGCCGUGGGCGCUGGAGAAUUGAGGGGGGGCUGCCCUAGUACGAGAGGACCGGAGUGGACGCAUCACUGGUGUUCGGGUUGUCAUGCCAAUGGCACUGCCCGGUAGCUAAAUGCGGAAGAGAUAAGUGCUGAAAGCAUCUAAGCACGAAACUUGCCCCGAGAUGAGUUCUCCCUGAGACUUUAAGUCUCCUGAAGGAACGUUAAAGACGAUGACGUUGAUAGGCCGGGUGUGUAAGCGCAGCGAUGCGUUGAGCUAACCGGUACUAAUGAACCGUGAGGCUUAACCUUACAACGCCGAAG
rnacentral:rRNA from 1 species